rnacentral:rRNA from 1 species
GAUGAACGCUGACAGAAUGCUUAACACAUGCAAGUCAACUUGAGUUUGGGUUUUUAACUUAGGUUUGGGUGGCGGACGGGUGAGUAACGCGUAAAGAACUUGCCUCACAGCUAGGGACAACAUUUGGAAACGAAUGCUAAUACCUAAUAUUAUGAUAAUAGGGCAUCCUAUAAUUAUGAAAGCUAUAAGCGCUGUGAGAGAGCUUUGCGUCCCAUUAGCUAGUUGGAGAGGUAACGGCUCACCAAGGCGAUGAUGGGUAGCCGGCCUGAGAGGGUGAUCGGCCACAAGGGGACUGAGACACGGCCCUUACUCCUACGGGAGGCAGCAGUGGGGAAUAUUGGACAAUGGACCGAGAGUCUGAUCCAGCAAUUCUGUGUGCACGAUGAAGUUUUUCGGAAUGUAAAGUGCUUUCAGUUGGGAAGAAACAAAUGACGGUACCAACAGAAGAAGUGACGGCUAAAUACGUG